rnacentral:rRNA from 1 species
AGCAGUAGCCACGGUAAAACGGAGGGGGCUAGCGUUGUUCGGAAUUACUGGGCGUAAAGCGCACGUAGGCGGCUUGGUAAGUUAGAGGUGAAAGCCUGGAGCUCAACUCCAGAAUUGCCUUUAAGACUGCCGAGCUAGCAGGUGAGAGAGGUAAGUGGAAUUCCGAGUGUAGAGGUGAAAUUCGUAGAUAUUCGGAAGAACACCAGUGGCGAAGGCGGCUUACUGGCUCAUACUGGACGCUGAGGUGCGAAAGCGUGGGGAGCAAACAGGAUUAGAUACCCCGGUAGUCCCUGUCUCUUAUAC